ACUACUGCCUCAUUUUAGUGCCAAACACUUCAUUUCACACCACACUCUGUACCUUAGCAUUAUCCAAGACCAAUCAAUUCCUUCCUAUUUUGUACAUUCAUACCUCAUUUUCUCUCACCUCAACCAGAAAUUUCAACCAAUUUUCGUAUUUGGGUUUCUGAAUUUACACCAAGACCCUAUAUUUUUUUUGUACUUUUCAGUCUCUUAAAGGUGUUUGUCAAGUAGGGGAGUUGAUUUGUCUGGCAAAAAAACCUUAUCAGAAUUCAAGCAAUUCUCUCAUCUAGCCUUUCUUAAUUACAUAAAAAUCUUCAAUUCUUGUGGGCCUUUCCUAGAGCUCUAAUUGGUGAUCUAUACUGUUAUAAUGGACGAUCCUAAUGACGCGUUGGUGGGUUAACUCAGCAAGACCGUAAGGGACAUUUCUAAGCUGCCCAAGUGCCUCACACCUAGAAGAAGAUUUAUGGUAAUUUGGUUCCGAAAGUGAAGCUAUUGAGCCUCUGUUUGAGAAAUUAAAGGACGGCAACGAAGAGGUUGGUGACUAUAAGAGGACAAACAAGCAGGAGAAGGACAAAACAUCAGUUUGUCAGGAAGAUGUAGGAAACGAGACGUGGGGAGACCCUUUGUGAAAAUAUCAGCAGUUUGAUGGUCUGAUCGAAUGAAGUGCACCUAAAGAGUUCCAUUUACAAUUAAUUCCUCAAUGAAAUGAUAGUCAAUCUCAACAUGCUUGGUGCGGGUAUGAAAGACGGGAUUGGCAACAAUAUAUGUGGCACAUAUAUUAUCACAGUAGAGAGAACUGGGUGUAGGGGGACAAAUAUAAAGGUCUCAAAGAAGGUAAUGGAGCCAAAUAAGUUCAGCAGUGGCAUAGGCAAGAGCUCGGUAUUUAGCUUCAGCACUACACCGGGCAACAGUGGGUUGGUUUUUGCAAGACCAGGAAAUAAGAUUAGAACCAAGAAAUAUGUAGAAUCCAGUUGUAGAACGACGAAAAUCAGGGCAGCCAGCCCAGUCAGCAUCAGGGAAGGCAGUAAGUGCAAGAGAGGAAUUUGAGUUGAGAUGAAUUCCCAUAUGAAUGGUGCCUUUGAUAUAGCGAAGAAUGCAUUUAGCAGCGGUAAAAUGUACCGUUGUCAGAGAAUGCAUAAAUUGGCAGGCUUGAUUAAUAGCAUAGGUUAUAUCAGGCUUUGUCAAGGUAAGAUACUGAAGAGUUCCCACGAUUUGCCGGUGCCAGUAAGAUGAAGGAUCGGGUAAGGGAUCUGUUGGGAUUUAUAUGCCCUGGCAUAGCAAAUUCCUGUUUGGAUUAAUUGACAUAUGUUUCUGACGUUUCUGAAAUAUUUAUGUUUUAUACAAUUGGUGAAUUCAAUGUAUUAUAUUUCGAUUCA